CGGCCUGUGGUAUGCCCUAGGCUGCCGGGGUUGCUGUGGGCUUUAACAGUCCCAGCUUCUGGGAGCAUGCAAUGUGAUGAUCAAAUCAGGCCUCCUCUCUGUACAACGCUGUAAGAACCACACCUGCGCCAUGGCUGCCCAGAGACUGUCUCCGAGGUUGUGUCACAUAAACGAAUCAUCCAGGCUAAGUCUGAAGGAUGAGCACUUUUUCAGGCAGUGUCUCACUUCACAGGAAUAGCUGACGGGGUUCUGACGGGGUUCCUCCUCUGGCAAGUGCUUGUGAUACUGUGGCUGACGCUCACAUCAAAACCUCUACCCUGGCAGCUGGGUCAGCACACCUCACUCCAUCAGCCACAGUCACUUGAGGACCAAACCCUGGGCUGAGAAGUAUGUAAGACGGCACUGCUGCUUUUAUGGACUCUGUGGGUAGGUUGGGAUGGCCCUUUUCUCCAGUGAACCUUUUCAAUGAUCUCUCGCAGUUUA